UCCAUACAAGAUCUUUCCCUAGACACUGAUGGAAGGGUUAUUGCACGCUCUCAAAAUGCGAAGGACUGGGAAUACUCACGAACAAGAGGAAGAGAAACUACUACUACUUUGUAGAACAGAAGCAAACAGCCUGGAUAACCCAAUUUAACUCACCAAUGAAAACCAGCCUCACAGACUGCUACCACAAGACUAGGGAAGGAACCUAUCAGACCUACCGUUCUACGUAACUCCAAAGCCUAACAAAGGGGAGGUGAGACAUAAGCCUUUCUUGGAGCUUUUCUGAUGUGGCUGGAGACUUUCACCGACAAAAUGAAUAUCCUCUUUGCUUAAAAGAAGAAAGGAAAACAAAAACAAAAACCUGCUCCCCUAUAUGCUACGGUCAAAUCAAAGUACUCAGCUCUCUGAGGUCCAGGAUCACUCCAGUGGCGCAGCUUUCAGAAGCUUGCGGUGGAGGAAAAAGUUCUGCUAGGAAGUCCCAGCCCGUUACACCUUUCUCAAUUUCCCCUGCCUCUUCUCUCCGACGCCAACCAGACCAGGGGGGCAGGCCCGCGGGGGGCUCCUUUGGGAAUAAUAAAGCCCAGGACCUCCACAAGA